UAGCACGUAGGCAACCUGCCCUCAAGUUUGGGACAACUACCGGAAACGGUAGCUAAUACCGAAUAGUUGUUUUCUUCGCCUGUAGAGAACUGGAAAGACGGAGCAAUCUGUCACUUGGGGAUGGGCCUGCGGCGCUUUAGCUGGUUGGGGAGGGAACGGCUCACCAAGGCGACGAUGCGUAGCCUACCUGAGAGGGUGAUCGGCCACACUGGGACUGAGACACGGGCCAGACUCCUACUGGACCAGCAGCCGGGAAUCCCCGCAAUGGACGAAAGCCUGAUGGAGCAAUGCCGCGUGAGAGAUGAAGGUUUUCGGAUAGGGAGUUCUGUUGCUAGGGAAGUUCGCCUGAGAGAUUAACUGCUCUCAUGGUGACGGUACCUGAGAAGCAGGCUCCGGCUAACUACGGGCAAGCAGCCGCUGUAAUACGUAGGGGGGCAAGGUUUGUACGUAAUUAUUGUCCUUAAAGGGGCGCCCCAGUUGAACAUUUUAAGUCUGGUGUUUAAGCCCGGGG
rnacentral:rRNA from 1 species